UACGGAGGGUGCAAGCGUUGUCCGGAUUUAUUGGGUUUAAAGGGUGCGUAGGCGGUUCUUUAAGUCUGGGGUGAAAGCCCGUUGCUCAACAACGGAACUGCCCUGGAAACUGGAGAACUUGAGUACAGACGAGGGCGGCGGAAUGGAUGGUGUAGCGGUGAAAUGCAUAGAUACCAUCCAGAACCCCGAUUGCGAAGGCAGCUGCCUAGACUGUAACUGACGCUGAGGCACGAAAGCGUGGGGAGCGAACAGG
rnacentral:rRNA from 1 species